rnacentral:ncRNA from 1 species
AUAAAUGCUAAGAUGGAGACAAGUAAGCAGUACCUCUAUACAGGGAGGGAACGCCUUGGAUUGAGAGCGUUCCUACAGAGACAGGCUGGCUGAAAUUCACUCCGGAGCAGUUCCUUGAACCUGCCUUUAGGAUGGGCAUCAAUAGAGGAUACCGGUCACGAGCCGUUAUGUCGAAAAGUGAGAGCAGCAGAUUUAGUCCAGUCUUCUGGGCGGGAAUGUCGAUAGCAGCUCUAACAAGGGUGGUACCACGGUCUUUUCGUCCCUUUU